ensembl:lncRNA
AUGGGGUGCCCCAUUCCGGCCGCCAGCCCCGUGCCGGGGCUCUGCUCCCUGCCCGAGCCGCGUGUGGGAUCCGCGCUGCCAGGAGCUGUCGCUACUUGCCCGGCCGCUCUCCCACUCGCAUUCCUGCCGCCUCGCCUGGCCCCUCCUGCGCUCAGGCUCCCUUCACGCCCAGGCGAAGCCCGGCCAGGCCCGGCGCAGCCCCGCUUCACCCGGGAGGAGCUUUUGGGGUGCCCGAGGGCAGACACUGCCUCGGGGUCUUCGUGUGAACAGGCAGGGUGUGGGAUGGGGCUGCGUGGCAGUGGUGCCAGGGCAGGGCUUGGGGACUUCUGCACGGGGUGCAGGGACAGAUGUUGGAGGUGCAAGAGCAGCUCUUGGGGGUUGCAGCCCCACGGGCACAGGGCUAUAGGGUGCAGUGCUGGUGGGGACAGUGGGCUGUGGGGCACAGGGCCGACCGGGCAGGGGGCUCUGCAUAAAAUGCCAGCUUGGCAGGGGGUACAGAGUGCAGUGCUACCGGGCUUGGGGGGCUGGGGGUUGCAGUGCCAGCUGGGACAGGGGGCUGUGGGUGCAGCACCAGCCAGGCAGGGGCUGUGGGGGACCCCUGAGUGCAGCCCAGGAGGGGAGACAAAAGCAGAGAACAGACAGCAGCCAUGGGGACAACCCCUGGCAGCCACCCACACCCCAGCUACUCACCCAAGGGUGCUGGGCCACCCCUCAGCACACAGACCUCCCAUCCCUCAAAGCCCCUCGGAAGGGGGACUUGAAGCCCCCAGGCAGUCCCACAGCGAGGAGCAGCAUCCCCCAGCCUCGCGUGACCUGUGCAGGGGGAACGAGCCGCCGCGGGGCCGGGGCAGCGCAGCCUGGCCCUGCCUGACCCUCCCUCCCCUGCAGCCAAACACCGUCUCCUUUCCAGCCCGUCUCGUUCCCGGCCACCGCAGCACCGUCUGCUCCUGUGCCAGCGCCUGGCAUCCAGGGGUUCCCCGGGCCGGGCCCGGCUGCCGGGGGGCACAUCUGGGGACUUGUGCUGGCCGUGGGCUGCCAGGGCGGGUGACAGCCACAGGUGGCUGGGCAACGGGAUGUGCCCCUGCAAAUGCUGAGGGUGUGGGUCCUUCACCCAGGUGA